AGAGUUUGAUCCUGGCUCAGAGUGAACGCUGGCGGUAGGCCUAACACAUGCAAGUCGAACGGCAGCACAGGAGAGCUUGCUCUCUGGGUGGCGAGUGGCGGACGGGUGAGGAAUACAUCGGAAUCUACCUUUUCGUGGGGGAUAACGUAGGGAAACUUACGCUAAUACCGCAUAAGACCUUCGGGUGAAAGCCGGGGACCUUCGGGCCUGGCGCGGAUAGAUGAGCCGAUGUCGGAUUAGCUAGUUGGCGGGGUAAAGGCCCACCAAGGCGACGAUCCGUAGCUGGUCUGAGAGGAUGAUCAGCCACACUGGAACUGAGACACGGUCCAGACUCCUACGGGAGGCAGCAGUGGGGAAUAUUGGACAAUGGGCGCAAGCCUGAUCCAGCCAUACCGCGUGGGUGAAGAAGGCCUUCGGGUUGUAAAGCCCUUUUGUUGGGAAAGAAAUCCUGCGGAUUAAUACCCGGCAGGGAUGACGGUACCCAAAGAAUAAGCACCGGCUAACUUCGUGCCAGCAGCCGCGGUAAUACGAAGGGUGCAAGCGUUACUCGGAAUUACUGGGCGUAAAGCGUGCGUA
rnacentral:rRNA from 1 species